AAACCGAGUAUACGCUUUUUCUGCUCUAAAAGUUCAUCUCACAAUUUUUCCUUUGACAUUUUCUGAGUAUUUUGAAAGACGAAAAGAACAGCUUAAUUUUUUUUCCUGAUGAAUUAUCUUAGAGUCCUCGAUUUCUCGGAGUGCUUUGUUAGCUUUGGUGCACGUUGCCUGAUGUCUAUUGAAAUCUUGUUUUAUUUCUAACAGGCUGAUGAGUCCAACAAGGAGUCGACCUCGAGUACCAGCACAACCGAUCGGCGGAGCCGCAUCCGUUCGUGUCUCGGGUAAACCCCCGCCAUCCUAUACACGAAGAGCACAGUCGRCCAGGGUUGUUAUACACAAGCGAUGACCAAGGUAUUUUUCAGCCCUGAACUCAGUUGUCGUGUUUAUACAACAUUCAAGGAACAAAACAUUCAAAGCUAUCCUAAAGGUGCGAUUACACGGAGCAAUUUUCUCUACAGCUUGUCUCCUUGCAACAGCGUUGCGACACAAGUUGCAAGAGUGUUUACACGGUGCAACGGAUGCGCAAUCGUUGCCAAAAGUAAAAACAAAUUGCACUUUUCGCAACGACUGAUGCAACUUCUCUCGAACCAUUUUUGUUUUCCUCAUUUUUUUAUUGAGCUGUAGGUUUCACGAUGCAAUGCUCCAUUCAACUUGUGUUGCAACGCCGUUGCGAGACAAGUUGCAGAGAAAAUUGUUCCGUGUAAUCGCGUCUUAAACGGACCAUAUUUAUUAAGCUGUAUUUAUCUUCGAACCCUUUUGAGUGAGAGGGAACCCUUUGGUUUUAUUGUAUCCAUUUCAACGAAUGAUAUAUACGUCUUAUAUUCAUCGCAUUUGACCAUACAAAGGGUCCCUUUGAUCUUCGUGGCAAUUUUUUUUAACACAAAAUGAUUAAAUAUUGAUCAGUGCUAUUUAUUUGUGAUAUCAAUAGUUUUACAGUUUCCAUGACGACAAAUUGUUAUUCGUUAGUAAAUAAUCGAGGUAAUAAUAUAUUUAAAAGUCAUAUUUAUCUUUAUGCCUACUAGAUCGUGUACGCAACGUUUAUCAGCUCAGAAUAGCACGAUGUCUUGUAUAUUUUGUAUUUAAUGUUGUCAAAUUAAACCACACCAAGGUUUUCGUUAUUAUA